rnacentral:lncRNA from 1 species
GGAUUGUGUAUUAGAGUCUCGCCUAUGCUGCAGGAUAUAACCUCAUCUCAAAACAAACGAGAAUUAUAAGCAUUUGGAUAUCAUAGAAUUCAUGCACAGUUUGUCCAAAGAGCAAGCAUGUCAGAUACGUGACAAAAAUGUAAUUUACUGAAAUUUUUAAUGGACGCAUUAAAAACCGUUUUUAUGAGAGCACACACAGAAGCUAUUAUCAGGUCAUUGGAAUGGUCCAGGAGGAAAAGAAAAUCAGGAAUGGAGAAUGAAGAUUUGAAAGGGGGAAAGAGAAAGGAAGGAAUGUCGAAUGAAUUCAAACCUAAUAGGGGAGGGACCAUGAGUUAACUUGGGUCUCUGUACCCAAGAUUUGGCAACCGAAAAAAAUUGAAGUAUAACCACGAGAAGCAGCCAGAUGGCUGUGCUGUGUUCAGCCAGAAGUGAAAGGUACUUUGUGGACUCAUAAAAACUUUCAAAAUACUCUGGUUGGGAUGAGACCUCUUUGGGGGGAGGGGGCGUGGCCUGGCCCAGAACAGUUCUUCUGAAGAAUUACUUUGGCUACAAAGACAAAAACAGAUUGGACUUGGGCCAAAGAUGAAAGCUGAGAUACAUACGAGUUGGGAAACCAUUGCAAUCAUCUAGGUUUAAAAAGAAUGCUGAUAUGGGGAAUUCAGGCUAAGGGGAAAAGGCAGCGGUGACGUAAGUCGUCAGAUGCAUCUUGAAGAUAAAGUUAGCAAGCCUUAUUAUUACUGGUGUGAAAGGAGAAUGAGUGUAAAGGGUUAGAAAUGGCAGCAAGGCUGGACAGCUGAAAAAGAUAAGGGAAGUUCCAUCGCUUGAAAGCCGCUAAGACAGGGGGAGAGGUAGCACAGAGAGAGGAGUGUCCAGGUUGGUUGUUGGGCAUGUUGACUUGGAAACAAGUAGUAAAGAAAUAAGCAGAAAGGUUUAGAACUCAGAAGAAAGGUGAGAGAAUUUUGAACUUGAGGUCAUGGGUGGGACUUGGGGGAGGAGUACCAUCUAAAGCCAGGGGUCAAGAUGAUGAGUGUAAAUAGAGACAGGCAGUCUUCAGAGAGAUGCAGUUUGCCAGACUGAACAAUCCGCAACUGUUGCAGUGAAGAUUAAAAUAAAACCAUCGGGAGGGGUGGGUGAAAGGUAGACUGAGAUUGUUAACAUGUUACGGACUUAGUUACAUUUGUAUGUCUCCGAGGUGUGCCACCACUUCUUCACAAACUCAUGAGGCAGAUUAGUAACACCCCAGUUUCUCUUCUGUUCACACUACUUGAAAUGUCCAGAGGGCCCCCAAAUAAGAACUGCCUCACUUUCUUGCUUAUACCACAAAUAGACAGAAAUCAUUCUGUGGUUUCUAGUGACUGCUGCUCACCAUCUUUUACAGUUGACUUGAUCUUGUGAUGUUUAAAAGCCGAAGUUUAUAGCAAAAGAUUGUAUUGUGCUAAGAAUUAGGAUGUACCUUCCCUGUCAACGUACAAAAUCUUGAACUUGGUCCUUUAAAUGCCUUCCUGAGAAUUUCUCCCCACAGUGGGGACCACUUUAAGCUCUUCUGUUGCUCUGCAGACAACCGCGUGGGCAACUGUUACCUGAAGUUUGGUCCUCGAGGAGACGGGAGUCUGUCCUGCAACACAGAGGUCGGCGUAGGUGUCAGUCGCUCCUCCUGCUGCUGCUCCCUGGGGAAGGCCUGGGGAAACCCCUGUGAGACAUGCCCUCCUGUAAACAGCAGUAAGUAUGGAACAGAAAGGAAGGAAAACACUUCUGUUUCUGUUCCAGGAUCUAGAAACAAGUUGCUAUUGUAUCCUGGACUGUGGGCAGCGGGAGGGGUGGCCUUGGACUGUUGUCAGUGGUUAUGCUGAAAUCCGCCAAGAGUGUUUUAUAGAGAAGGAAUUUCAGUUCUGUCCUUCCUAUUUUUUUCCUAUCGUGUUUCUCUUUAAAAAAAAUAUCAUCUCAACCACAAUGCAGUCUGAAUGGUCAUAAUAUGGACUAUGCGUGGGACCACAGAUAAAGGCUGUCCCCAGUCCUUCUUGGAGGUUGUUUGUUCAAGUUCAUAAGUGGAGUGUAUCCUGAAGUCAGUCACCACGGAGCACUUUAAAAGAAAACAUGUGUUCUGAUAUGUACAGAACCCAGACCUUUGUACCAUAGACUCCUGGCAUUUUUUUUUAUUUACUUGCCAAAAUAUUUGUGAUAUGAAUUAUCUAAAAGGAAGUGUUUUC